rnacentral:rRNA from 1 species
GGGGGGGGUGCUUACACAUGCAGUCGAACGAUGAACCGCUUUCGGGCGGGGAUUAGUGGCGAACGGGUGAGUAACACGUGGGCAAUCUGCCCUGCACUCUGGGACAAGCCCUGGAAACGGGGUCUAAUACCGGAUAUGACUGUCCAUCGCAUGGUGGAUGGUGUAAAGCUCCGGCGGUGCAGGAUGAGCCCGCGGCCUAUCAGCUUGUUGGUGAGGUAGUGGCUCACCAAGGCGACGACGGGUAGCCGGCCUGAGAGGGCGACCGGCCACACUGGGACUGAGACACGGCCCAGACUCCUACGGGAGGCAGCAGUGGGGAAUAUUGCACAAUGGGCGAAAGCCUGAUGCAGCGACGCCGCGUGAGGGAUGACGGCCUUCGGGUUGUAAACCUCUUUCAGCAGGGAAGAAGCGAAAGUGACGGUACCUGCAGAAGAAGCGCCGGCUAACUACGUGCCAGCAGCCGCGGUAAUACGUAGGGCGCAAGCGUUGUCCGGAAUUAUUGGGCGUAAAGAGCUCGUAGGCGGCUUGUCACGUCGGUUGUGAAAGCCCGGGGCUUAACCCCGGGUCUGCAGUCGAUACGGGCAGGCUAGAGUUCGGUAGGGGAGAUCGGAAUUCCUGGUGUAGCGGUGAAAUGCGCAGAUAUCAGGAGGAACACCGGUGGCGAAGGCGGAUCUCUGGGCCGAUACUGACGCUGAGGAGC